rnacentral:rRNA from 1 species
AGUGAACGCUGGCGGUAGGCCUAACACAUGCAAGUCGAACGGCAGCACAGAGGAGCUUGCUCCUUGGGUGGCGAGUGGCGGACAGGUGAGGAAUACAUCGGAAUCUACUCUGUCGUGGGGGAUAACGUAGGGAAACUUACGCUAAUACCGCAUACGACCUACGGGGGAAAGCAGGGGACCUUCGGGCCUUGCGCGAUUGAAUGAGCCGAUGUCGGAUUAGCUAGUUGGCGGGGUAAAGGCCCACCAAGGCGACGAUCCGUGGCUGGUCUGAGAGGAUGAUCAGCCACACUGGAACUGAGACACGGUCCAGACUCCUACGAGAGGCAGCAGUGGGGAAUAUUGGACAAUGGGCGCAAGCCUGAUCCAGCCAUACCGCGUGGGUGAAGAAGGCCUUCGGGUUGUAAAGCCCUUUUGUUGGGAAAGAAAUCCAGCUGGCUAAUACCCGGUUGGGAUGACGGUACCCAAAGAAUAAGCACCGGCUAACUUCGUGCCAGCCGCCGCUGUAA